AAUCUAAAGAGGACAUAACUGACAACAGCGACUCCACGCCAAAAGAAGAUAACAAAAUCAGGGCGCCUCUAAUAGGGC
rnacentral:snoRNA from 2 species